rnacentral:rRNA from 1 species
UACGAGGGAUGCAAGCGUUAUCCGGAAUUAUUGGGCGUAAAGCGUCCGCAGGUGGCUCUGUAAGUCUGUCGUUAAAGAAUGGGGCUCAACCCCAUACAGGCGAUGGAAACUACAAGGCUAGAGUUUGGUAGAGGUCACGGGAAUUCCUAGUGUAGCGGUGAAAUGCGUAGAUAUUAGGAAGAACACCAGCGGCGAAGGCGCGUGACUGGGCCAGUACUGACACUCAUGGACGAAAGCUAGGGGAGCGAAAGGG